AUGUCCUUUUAUUUUUCAAUGCAGAUCCUUGUAAGAAACUAUGAAAAUUUAAUGUUUAUAAUGUGAUCUCAAUAGGUUCUUCUAGUAGUAGGCCUCCAUAUGGAUAUAAGUUGGGAUUUGAAGUUCAUGUUAAGUGUCAAAAUAGGUUUAAAAGAGGGAUUUUAGGCUUCUGUUGUUUCAGUAAUAUAUAUGUGUAGCAAGAGCAAAGUUCUAAGGAUUUUCAUUUCAACAAGAAACAUGGCAAGAUGUUAGGUCCUGUUUGGAUUGGAGGAUUUCAAACGAAUGGAUUUGAAAUACCAUGGAUUUAAAAUACCUUGGAUUUGAAAUCCAAACAAUUUAAAAUCACCUAUUUGGAUACAUGAAGAUUUAUACAAAGGAUUUCAAAUCAAAUUCACUGUUUGGCAAAAGAGUAGUGGAUUUAAAUUCUUUAAUUAGUUUUACAAAUAUUUUCAUUUCAUACAAAUGUGAUAUUGCAAUUAUUGAACUUAUGAGAAAUAUCAGUUAAAUUUCAUUAAAUAAUAACACUAUCUAAAAAUAAAAAUAAUAUAUAUAUAUCUCGAGCGGGCAUGGCCGGUUCGAGUCGAGUCAAGCCCAUGGCUUCCCCUUCCCACUCCAAUGCAACAGGCUCACCGGACCGGGGUGCAAAUCACGGCAGAGGCCACAAAAGUUAUCGCCGCCGAGUCCGUGCUGGUUCCACCGGUGAUCAACCGGAGCUAUGUUUCCGGCGAACACGAGCAAGAAUGGUGGCAAAGAGCCCAGCUCGUAAAUCCUCAUCUUCUUCUGAAGCUCCAUCCACUCGACAAUCUUGGUGGUGUAAUCUCCGGCCCUCCAUCUCUGGAGAUCGAUCACCAUAACUCCGGUGUUGAAGUCGCAAGGUUUUCUGUUGGCGAAGGUUAGAGAAAGAGAGAAGGGCUGGACCAGAACGUCGGCGUGAAGUAGGUGGUGAAGUUGGCAUUGCAGUACUCAGGCGCCGCCAGCACGGCCCCGUUCGGGAGCGGCGUUGCCGCGACUUUCGCGAUGUCGUCGACGAGGACGAGGUUGGAGUCGAGGUAGACUACCCGUCCAAGAGAGGGUCUAUGGGCAUCUCACCGCCGUCGAGCGCCGCCGUUGAAGAGGAAUAUUCCCUGCUAAUUCCCUAGCUAGAAGAUCAAUAAUUGAAAAAAUCCCUAAUUUUUUAAGGCUGCUGAGAGAAGUCACGAUGGGUGGAUUUCAAAUGACUAGGUUUGUGGGAGGAUUUGAAAUCCAUUAAAAAAUGGGCUCAAAUCCAUCGAUUUUUAGGUGUAUUUGAAAUCCACUUAUUUAAGUUGUGGCCCAAACGACGUAAUGGAUUUGGACAGUGGAUUUAAAAUCCGUCCUAGCCCAAAUCCGUCCUUCCAAACGGGCUCUUAGAGUUUAUUUUAGGAUUAUGUGUAUCCCUUAUCUUGUUUAUUUUUAGCAUAAGGUAUCGAAUUGAGAUUCUUGGUACCAGG
rnacentral:lncRNA from 1 species